rnacentral:misc_RNA from 1 species
CAAAUUUAUAGUGUACAAAUUCACAAUCACAUGCAAAUAUACAAUCUAAAAUCGCAGGAUAAUUACCCAACAAAUCUACAAAUCUUUAAAUAAACGUGGUGCAAAUCUAGUGAAUCGACGACACCAUGAGGCAACCACAGAAAAAUCAAAGAUGAGAAGGGGGAAUGAGGGGAAGGCGCCGCAUGGUAAGACGAGGUGAUGCGAUGAGAGGUGAGGACAAGUUUUUGGUCGUGAGUGAGCCUGGGUGGACGAUGACAGUCGGGAAAGAAAGAAAGGGAAUAAGGGAUGGCUGGGUGGUCGACAGUGCUGCUACAUGAGGCUCUGAGGCAAAGAGUAAAAGAAUUGGAAGGGCAAGGAAAAAUGAGGAAGG